AGUGAACGCUGGCGGUAGGCCUAACACAUGCAAGUCGAACGGCAGCACAGUAAGAGCUUGCUCUUACGGGUGGCGAGUGGCGGACGGGUGAGGAAUACAUCGGAAUCUACUUUUUCGUGGGGGAUAACGUAGGGAAACUUACGCUAAUACCGCAUACGAACUACGGGUGAAAGCAGGGGAUCUUCGGACCUUGCGCGAUUGAAUGAGCCGAUGUCGGAUUAGCUAGUUGGCGGGGUAAAGGCCCACCAAGGCGGCGAUCCGUAGCUGGUCUGAGAGGAUGAUCAGCCACACUGGAACUGAGACACGGUCCAGACUCCUACGGGAGGCAGCAGUGGGGAAUAUUGGACAAUGGGCGCAAGCCUGAUCCAGCCAUACCGCGUGGGUGAAGAAGGCCUUCGGGUUGUAAAGCCCUUUUGUUGGGAAAGAAAAGCAGCAGGUUAAUACCCCGCUGUUCUGACGGUACCCAAAGAAUAAGCACCGGCUAACUUCGUG
rnacentral:rRNA from 1 species